rnacentral:rRNA from 1 species
UACGUAGGGGGCAAGCGUUAUCCGGAUUUACUGGGUGUAAAGGGAGUGUAGACGGCUGUGCAAGUCUGGAGUGAAAGGCAUGGGCUCAACCUGUGGAUUGCUUUGGAAACUGUGCGGCUUGAGUGUCGGAGAGGCAAGUGGAAUUCCUAGUGUAGCGGUGAAAUGCGUAGAUAUUAGGAGGAACACCAGUGGCGAAGGCGGCUUGCUGGACGAUGACUGACGUUGAGGCUCGAAAGCGUGGGGAGCAAACAGG